CUCACUGCCCAGGCAUGCUGCGGGCCCCAGCGCUGCUGCUGGUUCUCCUGGCUCCUGUCACACAGGUAUCUUCCGACUUGAAAGUGGACAAGAUGUCAGUCACUAGUAAGACUGGGGAGACUGCUUCAUUCACUUGUGAGCUUACACAAGCUGCCAGCUAUCUCCACUUGUACAAACACCAAGAGGGGACGGCCCCACAACGCCUUCUAUACUAUGACAUCUCCAAGGCAAAGACUGUAUUCGAAUCAGGAAUUAAUCAAGCAAAAUACCAUGUGUAUCCAGGCACAGGGAGGAGCUAUACAUUUGCAAUCCUAAAUCUGGAAGACAGAGAUUCUGGCAUGUACUACUGUGCUAUCUGGGAUGAGCACAGUGAAAAAAUCUUCAACAUUGGAACAAAAAUUGCUGUCACAGACAGAAACCUUGCUGUAGACAUGUCCCCCAAGCCCACUAUUUUUCUUCCUUCAAUUGCUGAAAUCAACCGUCAUAAGACUGGAACAUAUCUUUGUCUUCUGGAGAAUUUUUUCCCUGAUGUUAUCAAGGUUCAUUGGAAAGAAAAGAACGGCAACAGAGUUCUGCCAUCCCAGCAGGGAAACACCAUGAAGACUAGUGACACGUACAUGCAGUUCAGCUGGCUGACCGCGACUGAAAACUCCGUGGAUAAAGAACACGUGUGUGUCGUCACACAUGAGAAAAAUAAAGGAGGAACUGAUCAAGAGAUUCUUUUUCCUUCAAUACAUGAAGUUAUCUCUUCCUUUGUCCCUACCACGGAGUCUCCAAAUGAUUGUUUGAAUGAUGAAAGCAAUACCCUGCAGCUCACGAGCACCUCUGCCUUUUACACCUACCUCCUGCUCCUCCUCAUAAGCGCCGUCUACUUCGUCAUCACCGCCUUCUAUGUGUUUAGGAGAACAGCCCUCUGCGGUGCUGGGAAGAGCUUCUGA